CUUGAACGAGGAAUUCCCAGUAAGCGCGAGUCAUUAGCUCGCGUUGAUUACGUCCCUGCCCUUUGUACACACCGCCCGUCGCUACUACCGAUUGAAUGGUUUAGUGAGGUCCUCCGAUUGGACCCGGUCCGGGCGGCGACGUCCGAGCCGGCGUCCGAGAAGACGAUCUAACUUGAUCAUUUAGAGGAAGUAAAAGUCGUAACAAGGUUUCCGUAGGUGAACCUGCGGAAGGAUCAUUA
rnacentral:ncRNA from 1 species